ACGGAGGAUGCAAGCGUUAUCCGGAUUUAUUGGGUUUAAAGGGUGCGCAGGCGGACGAUUAAGUCGGGGGUGAAAUGCAACUGCUUAACGGUUGAACUGCAAGUGAUACUGACUAGCUAGAGUGCAGAAGAGGUUGGCGGAAUUCCACGUGUAGUGGUAAAAUGCGUAGAGAUCGCGAAGAACACCAGCUGCGAAGGCAGCUCACGAGACAGUAACUGACGCUAAGACACGAAAGCGUGGGGAGCAAACAG
rnacentral:rRNA from 1 species